AAGUCGUAACAAGGUUUCCGUAGGUGAACCUGCGGAAGGAUCAUUAUUGAAUAUUCUUGAUAGGUUGUAGCUGGCUCUUUGGAGUAUGUGCACGCUUAUCUUGACUUUAUUCGUCCACCUGUGCACCUUUUGUAGUCUUGGGGAUUGAGAGCAGUCGACUAUCGGGAUGGCCGGCGGUCAUUCCGGAUUUGAGGAAUGCUGAGUGCAAAAGGCAUACAGCUCUUCUCUAAUGACUGUCCCUCGAGUACUAUGUAUUCAUAUACCACAUAGUAUGUUGUAGAAUGUGAUGAAUGGGUCUAUGUACCUAUAAUAAUCAUAUACAACUUUCAGCAACGGAUCUCUUGGCUCUC
rnacentral:misc_RNA from 1 species